UAUGCACUGGUCGAAAGAUCAUACAAGAUUACCUUUGUAUGGGUCCCCUCACAUUGCUCAAUUUAUGGCAAUGAGAAGGCGGACUCUCUCGCAAAGGUGGGCGCACAGGAAGGUGAGAUCUAUGAAAGAAGAAUUUCACACGAUGAAUUUUGUUACAGUUAAGAAUUAGCGAUGAAUUUGUAAGCCUAGAUAAAUUUAAGUGUACGCUAGAAAAAAAAAAUCAUCGACUAAAUAAAUCAUGAGCACCCCCACAUUGCUUGAAAUGUCAAAGGGUAUGGAAAAUUAUAUUGCUGAUUACCAUGACGUGCCAGGCCAGCAGCGAAGCUUCCGCCUAAACACACAUACGAACGGGACACAUAAAGAAAGCCGUCCGACCGAGCGGUGGUGAGUGCGCCAUAGUGCCGAAAAUUUUAUAAUCGCGCAGGCGGUUAGAUACCAGUUCUAGCUCGCGAAUACGACCUCUAUUCGGUACUUUCGGACUAGGCCUCGCACGAGCAGGCGAGUCGGGUACAGCACGUGGUGUUCACUGUGCCAUUCAUCAGAACUGUAGAUCGUAAGUGAAAAUAUCAUUGGUUUAACGCGUGGAAGGCAUUAACAAACCCGAUAUACGAUAUAGGUUCAUCCCGAUCGGCCUCGCACCACUGACAUCGCAGCGGCAAGCAUCAUUGGAACGAGCCCAACUCGUCAUCGUAGGCUCGUAAGACCAGAACGCGAGUAGGAACAUCGAAUUCCACUCCGGAGAUACUGCCAGAAGGCGGCAAGCAAGCGAAUCAGAGGAUACACUUCGACCGAACAAGCGCCGUAACCGGAAGCAUUUCGAUAGGGCUUUGUUCCAGAUCUCUCAGGUGUCACGAGCGCACUUGCUGCCGAGAGCAAUCUCAGGUUGACGGUGCUGGUUUUCCAACUGCCAGACGGUCCGGUUUGAUUAGGCGCAGGAGGAGCGCCUGAAGCGAGGACGGAGACCAGACGGAGAGUUGAAUUUCCGAUCGCGGCCGACCUCCAUCUUAAGAAGGAAAAGGAGCAAGCUUCCUGGCACAUCUCGUGUCAUGCAUGGUAUGUAAGAAACACUCCACUGAGUGCAACGUUCGGGUGAGCAGACCCGUCUAAUCAUAAGCCAAUAUGUAUUAGGUGUAAGAAAC